CCUACGGGUGGCAGCAGUGAGGAAUAUUGGUCAAUGGACGAGAGUCUGAACCAGCCAAGUAGCGUGAAGGAUGACUGCCCUAUGGGUUGUAAACUUCUUUUAUAAAGGAAUAAAACGAGGCACGUGUGCCUUUUUGCAUGUACUUUAUGAAUAAGGAUCGGCUAACUCCGUGCCAGCAGCCGCGGUAAUACGGAGGAUCCGAGCGUUAUCCGGAUUUAUUGGGUUUAAAGGGAGCGUAGGUGGAUUGUUAAGUAAGUUGUGAAAGGUUGCGGCUCAACCGUAAAAUUGCAGUUGAAACUGGCAGUCUUGAGUACAGUAGAGGUGGGCGGAAUUCGAGGUGGAGCGGUGAAAUGCUUAGAUAUCACGAAGAACUCCGAUGGCGAAGGCAGUUCACUGGACUGCAACUGACACUGAGGCUCGAAAGUGUGGGUAUCAAACAGGAUUAGAUACCCCAGUAGUC
rnacentral:rRNA from 1 species